AUCUUGCAUGUUUGUGACGGAAGUGCAGCACGGGACGCGGCGGACGCAGUGAAUUGGAGGCUGGAGCGACUGCUGGACGGUGCCAUGGAGGCCACUUUCUCAGAGAGGCGACACCUCAUCGUCAAGAGGAAAAUCCCGAUGGCCACCAUCCGUCGUCGAUGAAAACAAAGUCUGGAAAGAGCUGAGUCGGAUAAAAAAUGCCGACUUGCAGGACACCAACGAGUUGGAACUCUCCCGGGAAGCCAUGACCCCGAUUGUGGCCAAUGGCGAAGGUGAAAGAGCAGCUGGAUGCCUCACAGAUGACGAUGCGAUCGACCAUCUUCUCUGCACCGUGCUAAAGAGCACCAAGUUGUGUUCACAUCGGCGCCGCAGCCACGGCCUCAUGUGGCGGACGACUUCCACGCCAUAGAGGGCGUGCCAGCAGUGCAGUUUAAGGAGCUAACGGCAAAGGUGAACAAGCUGCUGACGUAGGGGGCCGCGUUCAGUGUUUGCGCAGUCGUUCAACCGCCCAGCCAUCCGUCUGGCCGGCUACCUGAUGUGUGCCGUGAUCCUGAAGACCGAUGUGUCGCCGCCCCCAAAGCAGUGGGCGGCGAUGACCGGCUGCGUUUAGGAGUGCACGGGGAGGGACAUGAGGCAGCACUUUAGGGACUUUCUGUCUCUUUUUGUGUUUGUGUUUCUGCCGGGUAGCUUUGCAAAGAAAUAGCGUUAACGCUUUUUCAUGCGUGUAGGCCAAGUUCACGUCUGGAAGGGCAUGAGCGUCGUGCUGUGUUCAUCACCCUUGUUCAUAUGAUCAAUGAUGUAAUAGUCGUGGUUUAUCUGCAUGCUAUGCAUUGUUUUAAUAAACCUUAUGUUUUAAU